rnacentral:misc_RNA from 1 species
UCUCCGUAGGUGAACCUGCGGAGGGAUCAUUACCAGAGAUGGCGGGCCCCCGCGCCCCCGUCCCCAACCCUUCGUUGACCAAACCGCUUUUGCCUCGGGGGCAGAGCGGCCUCCGCCGCCCCCGGUGGACCAUUUAACCCUGUCUCUGUACGUCGGAGUCUUUGAUAAAUGAAUAAAAAACUUUUAACAACGGAUCUCUUGGUUCUG